UACAGAGGGUGCAAGCGUUAAUCGGAAUUACUGGGCGUAAAGCGUGCGUAGACGGUCAUGUAAGUCGGGUGUGAAAGCCCCGGGCUCAACCUGGGAAUUGCAUUCGAGACUGCAUGGCUAGGAUGCGGAAGAGGGAAGCGGAAUUUCCGGUGUAGCGGUGAAAUGCGUAGAUAUUGCUCGGAAGGCCGGAGCCGAAGGGGCCCCACUGGUACGUAACUGACGCUGAGGCACGAAAGCGUGGGGAGCAAACAGG
rnacentral:rRNA from 1 species